CCUACGGGAGACAGCAGUGGGGAAUAUUGCGCAAUGGGCGAAAGCCUGACGCAGCGACGCCGCGUGAGGGAUGAAGGUCUUCGGAUCGGAAACCUCUGUCAGCAGGGAAGAACGGUCACUGUGCUAAUCAGCAGUGAAUUGACGGUACCUGCAAAGGAAGCACCGGCUAACUCCGUGCCAGCAGCCGGGGUAAUACGGAGGGUGCGAGCGUUAAUCGGAAUUACUGGGCGUAAAGGGCUCGUAGGCGGUAUGUCAAGUCAAGGGUGAAAUCCCCGCGCUCAAAGUUGGAACUGCCUUUGAAACUGGUAAACUGGAGUGUGUGAGAGGAUAGUGGAAUUCGAGGUGUAGGAGUGAAAUCCGUAGAUAUCACGAGGAACAUCAGUGGCGAAGGCGACUAUCUGGCACAUAACUGACGCUGAGGAGCGAAAGCGUGGGUAGCAAACAGGAUUAGAUACCCCAGUAGUC
rnacentral:rRNA from 1 species